GAUGAACGCUGGCGGCGUGCCUAAUACAUGCAAGUCGAGCGAAGCGGGGACGGGUGAGUAACACGUGGAUAACCUCCUAUAAGACUGGGAUAACUUCGGGAAACCGGAGCUAAACCGGAUACUUAUAGAUGGAUCCGCGCUGCAUUAGCUAGUUGGUAAGGUAACGGCGUACCAAGGCAACGAUGCAUAGCCGACCUGAGAGGGUGAUCGGCCACACUGGAACUGAUACGAGGCCCAGACUCUGUCGGGAGACAGCAGUAGGGAAGCGUCGGCAAUUGGGGGAACCCUUACCGAGCAACGCCGCGUGAGUGAAGAAGGUUUUCGGAUCGUAAAGCUCGGUGGUUAAGGAAGCGGUAUUUAACCAGAAAGGGACGGCUAACUACGUGCCAGCAGCCGCGGUAAUAC
rnacentral:rRNA from 1 species